rnacentral:lncRNA from 1 species
GGACCUUACCCUCAGAACUUAGGAAACGGUGGAUCUGAAGAGAGACCCCCACCCCCCUUUUUUGAAGCGUCUUCUUCUUUACAGGCUUUAGGAGACCCUUCCAUCUCCUCUCCAAACCAAUAGCCAUGGCUUCACCCUCAUCACCACCAAAUCCUUCAGCACACGCCAUUUAACUCCCCUUCUUCAUCCAUCAUUUCCUCACAGCCACCAAAUCGCCGGAAAUCCGGCAUUCAUCAGCUCCCCCUUUCUCUUCGAUUCUUUUUAUCUCAUCUCUAACCUUGAAAAAAAUGGAAACAAAGACCUGACAAGCUUGGAGACCAAAAGCAAUAGAAAAACCGAAUUUCAAAGAAGAUCUGAAAGGGAGUUUGGUCGCUGAAAUGUUAAAAUUCGUCUUCCUCCUUUCUUUGGGCUCGUAUGAAGUUGUGAAUGGACUGUGUUGCUGAACUCGUUGUUCCCGAUUUUAAAUGUUCUAUUCAUCUUCAGCGUUAACUUUACUUGGUUAUUUGGGACUGUAUUACUGCCGCUAAGGUACUGUCUCCCAUUCUCGUUCUUGUAAUUCUCAUUUUGAUUCAAUGAAAAUAUGCUUACAAUGAUGAGGCAGUGUAUAAUUAUAUAUUUU